UUGACGGGGCCCGCACAAGCGGUGGAGCAUGUGGUUAAUUCGACGCAACGCGAAGAACCUUACCAGGGCUUGACAUCCCCUGACCGCGUAUGAAAGUACGUUUUCACCCUCGGGUGACAGGGAGACAGGUGGUGCAUGGUUGUCGUCAGCUCGUGUCGUGAGAUGUUGGGUUAAGUCCCGCAACGAGCGCAACCCCUACGUUUAGUUGCUAACAGGUGAAGCUGAGCACUCUAGACGAACUGCCGUUGACAAAACGGAGGAAGGUGGGGAUGACGUCAAAUCAUCAUGCCCCUUAUGUUCUGGGCUACACACGUGCUACAAUGGCCGGUACAGACGGAGGCGAAGCCGCGAGGCGGAGCAAAUCCGAAAAAGCCGGUCUCAGUUCGGAUUGCAGGCUGCAAUUCGCCUGCAUGAAGUCGGAAUCGCUAGUAAUCGCAGGUCAGCAUACUGCGGUGAAUACGUUCCCGGGCCUU
rnacentral:rRNA from 1 species